GGUGGAAUUACAUCAUAUGGACUUGCCUCUGCAAGUUCUUCAUCCUCAUCCUUAGCAAGAAGCCUCACUUGCUCUGUCACCUUCUUAGUAAAUUUCACCAAUUUGGCCAGAAGUUCAGAUGCAUUAGGAGGGAGUCCUGCUCCAUCAACCAUCCAAGGUUUCUCUGCUGAUCCAUUAAUAUGAAGUGUCUUUGUUUCGGAAGUAAUUAUAUCAUUCAACCUUGCCUUAGCAUC
rnacentral:misc_RNA from 1 species